rnacentral:rRNA from 1 species
GAUGAACGCUGACAGAAUGCUUAACACAUGCAAGUCGAUGGGGAAGUGGUGCUUGCACCAUGGCAACCAUGGCGGACGGGUGAGUAACGCGUAAGGGACUUACCUGCAGGACUGGGAUAACAGGGGGAAACUCCUGACAAGACCGGAUAAUGUCAUGGAGCUGCAUGGCUUUAUGAUGAAAGGAGACGCCUGCGGAGAGCCUUGCGUCCUAUUAGCUAGUUGGUGAGGUAAUGGCUCACCAAGGCGAAGAUAGGUAGCCGGCCUGAGAGGGUGGACGGCCACAAGGGGACUGAGAUACGGCCUUUACUCCUACGGGAGGCAGCAGUGGGGAAUAUUGGACGAUGGGGGCAACCCUGAUCCAGCAAUUCUGUGUGCACGAAGAAGGUUUUCGGAUUGUAAAGUGCUUUCAGCAGGGAAGAAGUAAGUGACGGUACCUGCAGAAGAAGCGACGGCUAAAUACGUG